CAACCACUCCCCUCCAUUGGAACAAAGCAAGAAAAAGAGAGAAGAGAAUCUGUUCAUUCAAUUUUGGUGAAGUAAAAACCAUAGGUGACAGAAAUUAAUGGGGAUGAUGGGCAAAAUAGCAAGCUCCAUAACCACCACAACAGGCAGCUGGAAAAAUACCAUUGUCACCGCAACAAUCAUCUUCGCCAUCCAUCUUUAUGCAAAGGUUUUCAGGCACAGCACAAUGCUCAAUAUUUACCAUCCAAAUCCUCGCAUCAAGGACAUGUCCAGUGCUGCUUUCGUCCCAUACUGUGUGGUGUGCCUCCAAGAAGUGAUGAAGGGCCAAAGGUGCCGAAAGCUGCCCAUAUGCAACCAUUGCUUCCAUGUUCAUUGCAUUGAUACAUGGUUCCAAUCGCAUUCUACCUGCCCUUUAUGCAGAACUAAUCAGGCCUCGUUUGUGCAUACGCAGGCCUCGUUUGUUCAUACGCACCAACUUCGUCUCCUCCGGAUCCAUCUUUUGUUCUCUUUCAUUUUUAGAAAAUUUUCUAGGGAAAAUGUGUAAUCCUCUGCAACUCUGAGAUUACCACUGGUAGAUGAUCAACAAAUUCAAGAGGUUGAAUAUCAUUUUUUUUCCCAUGUUCAUUAUUUCAGAUUCUAAUUUAAGGGAUUGAAUUUUAUAGUAUGAUAUCAUAUUUCAUCAGGGACAUAUAUUUUUGGUCGAAAU
rnacentral:lncRNA from 1 species